rnacentral:rRNA from 1 species
UACGAACCGUACAAACGUUAUUCGGAAUCACUGGGCUUAAAGGGUGCGUAGGCGGCCACGUAAGUGAGAUGUGAAAUCCCUCGGCUCAACCGAGGAAGUGCAUUUCAUACUGCAUGGCUUGAGGGAGACGGGGGUAAGCGGAACUGAUGGUGGAGCGGUGAAAUGCGUUGAUAUCAUCAGGAACACCGGUGGCGAAAGCGGCUUACUGGGUCUCUUCUGACGCUGAGGUACGAAAGCUAGGGUAGCGAACGGG